AACGAACGCUGGCGGCAUGCCUAACACAUGCAAGUCGAACGAGACCUUCGGGUCUAGUGGCGCACGGGUGCGUAACGCGUGGGAACCUGCCCUUAGGUUCGGAAUAACUCCCCGAAAGGGGUGCUAAUACCGGAUAAUGUCUUCGGACCAAAGAUUUAUCGCCUUUGGAUGGGCCCGCGUUGGGUUAGCUAGUUGGUAGGGUAAAAGCCUACCAAGGCGACGAUCCAUAGCUGGUCUGAGAGGAUGAUCAGCCACACUGGGACUGAGACACGGCCCAGACUCCUACGGGAGGCGGCAGUGGGGAAUAUUGGACAAUGGGCGAAAGCCUGAUCCAGCAAUGCCGCGUGAGUGAUGUAGGCCUUAGGGUUGUAAAGCUCUUUUACCCGGGAUGAUAAUGACAGUACCGGGAGAAUAAGCUCCGGCUAACUCCGUG
rnacentral:rRNA from 1 species